GGGCGUAUAGCUCAGGGGUUAGAGCGCACGGUUCACAUCCGUGAGGUCUGUGGUCCAAAUCCACAUACGCCCA
rnacentral:tRNA from 1 species